ACUCAAAGGAAUUGACGGGGACCUGCACAAGCGGUGGAGCAUGUGGUUUAAUUCGACAAUAAGCGAGGAACCUUACCAAGGCUUGACAUGUAGCUGCAAGCUUCAGAGAUGAAGCCGCCUUCGAGGGUGCUACACAGGUGCUGCACGGUUGUCGUCAGCUCGUGCCGUGAGGUGUUCACUUAAGUGUGAAAACGAGCGCAACCCCUAUCGCAAGUUACAAGUGUCUUGUGAAACUGCCGGCGUCUAAGCCGGAGGAAGGCGGGGAUGACGUCAAAUCAGCGUGGCUCUUACGCCUUGGGCGACACACGUGCUACAAUGGGAAGUUACAAAGGGACGCCAAGCGGUAACGCGGAGCAAAUCCUAUCAAACCUUCCCCCAGUUCGGAUCGAGGGCUGCAACUCGCCCUCGUGAAGUUGGAAUCGCUAGUAACCGUAGAUCAGCCUCGCUACGGUGAAUACGUUCUCAGGUUUUGUACACACCGCCCGU
rnacentral:rRNA from 1 species